AUUAUCUAAAGCCCGUGGACUGUUCACGGCGCUUCACUGUUCAUUCGAGCCUCAAUUGAAUGACGCUUUUGCCCUUCUCUUCUUCUUUUAUUACGGGUUGCCAUGCUUCUAUACGUUUCCAGACGUCUCCGCAACCGACCUCCUCAUAUUUUUUCCAGAAGUCUCCAUCUUGAGGCAAUAUAGAGAACCACAGUUGAUCCUUAUUAAACCAAGCAUUGCAACCGACCCCUGCUUCCACCGACUUCAACCUUCGUCUCAUCGACUGUAUCUCUUUCUCUUCUACUGUGGUCACCGACAUCAAGCUUUCUCCAUUCAGUCUACACCGACAUCGACUCAUUUAGCCCUUGCUCUUUUCCCACAAUUUCGGGCUGCCAUUCUUCUAUAAACCUUCUCAUUCGACUGUUGCCCGAACAAUCCAGAGAAAUCAAGAGCGAGUUAGAGGGAGAGAGAAAUAGGGUGUGUUAGUUUGCUUUGUACAGAGAGAGAGAGAGAGAGAGAUCGAAGGGAAAUUCUCACCUCAUCAUCUCAGCACGAGGUCAGUUACUUUUCAUCACGAGAGUGAUCGGAGAGGUUUUUAUUUGGUGGUUUGUAUCAAAUCUCUGAAAGGAAACCAAGGAAGGGAAGAAACAGCAAUGAAUCCUAUACUAUGGCACAAAGUAGCUGCAGUCUCUGGUACUACCUUAUAUCUACAGGUAUAAAGGGAGUUAGCAAUAGUAUGGAGCUGCA